GAUGAACGCUAGCUACAGGCUUAACACAUGCAAGUCGAGGGGUAACGAGAGGAAAGCUUGCUUUCCUUGUCGACGACCGGCGCACGGGUGAGUAACGCGUAUCCAACCUGCCCCCAACUAGGGAAUAACCUUGCGAAAGUAAGACUAAUACCCUAUAAUUUCCUCAGAUGUCAUCUGACGAGGAAUAAAGAUUUAUCGGUUGUGGAUGGGGAUGCGUCUGAUUAGCUUGUUGGCGGGUAACGGCCCACCAAGGCAACGAUCAGUAGGGGUUCUUAGAGGAAGGUCCCCCACAUUGGAACUGAGACACGGUCCAACCUCCUACGGGAGGCAGCAGUGAGGAAUAUUGGUCAAUGGGCGGAAGCCUGAACCGGCCAAGUAGCGUGCAGGAUGACGGCCCUAUGGGUUGUAAACUGCUUUUAUACAGGAAUAAAGUUAGCCACGUGUGGUUAUUUGUAGGUACUGUAUGAAUAAGGACCGGCUAAUUCCGUGCCAGCCGCCGCAGUAA
rnacentral:rRNA from 1 species